rnacentral:rRNA from 1 species
CCGCACAUCUCCUCCUGUCCGGAUGAGAUCCCAAGCCGCUACUCCUCGUCUCCGGACGAGGUGCAGCCGCAGAAGCCGACGCUGAUGAGACGAUGCCGCGACGCCGGCGACCGCCGCCGCCAUCGCGGAUCACCAGGACGCCACCGCCGCCGGUGCCUCGGAUACGUCGUGGAAUACCAGAACGCGGCCGUCGCGGAUCACCAGGACGACACCUCCUUCCCCUCACUCCACCACACACCGCCUGCCAGAUCUCGCCGUGCAUCGAUAGCCAUCGACGACCCACUCCACCCUACCUGCCCCGGCCCUGACGCCGCCACAUACCAAGCGCCGCCACAGCUGCAUCGAUCUAAGGUGCAACGCGUCCCAUCACCACUGAUCUAUGAUUGUGGUUCGAGACGGGUCUGCGGCACCGGCGGCGAGAGGAGCCGCCUGGUUGAGAAGCUCAUCCAUGACGUUUGUGUCAGCCCGUGGUCGUCCGGCGUGUCAAGCCGUCGAUCUGGAGUCCCAGGUCCAUACUCUCUGCAGGGUGCUUGCAGAAUGGUGUGGCAAAAUGGAGUAACAUCACAGGGCUUCUUGUCGCGCCCACACACCGUGGAGCCGCCAGCCUACCCGAGCCACCGUUGAUCAGCGUCAACUCCAUAAGGGAAAUAUAUGGUAUUCAUCGGCCAAUUUCUCUGAUUAGGAAUUGAGAUAAACAUCAAUUUGGCUCAAGACUUGCUAAGGGUCCUCUAGCUUGGGGAGGUUAAUAUCCCAAUUUGUCAAGAUUUCCAGCAAGUGCUAGCAGAAGGGUCAUCCUGUACUGCGCCUCGAUGCGUAGGUUCCGCAAUGGCACCUUCGCCGUUGGCUGCUGCGUGCCGACCCUGUCCAUCAUGCGCCGCUGGUGUCGGAGCAGGCGGAGGUUGUCUUUGUGGUUUUCGGCGAUGAGAAUGUGCACCAGCUCCCGUCGAUCUGCGACCCACAGCCGGUGCAGGUCAACUCGCUCCAGCGGACGAUUGUCGUCGACGUUCCCAUUGGUAUGCAGAGGGGAGCAAGAUCCGCAGCCUGUCCAUGACAGUCGCUCGAUGGCCGCACAUCCAGCUCAUCACAGGGUGAGCUGUGACCGCGCUCGCAGGGAAGGCGAGCAAUGGUACCGAGCACGCGAGAUGAGCUCUGCCGGCGAGCAGGCGUGGGCGAGCUGGCAACAGUGAGCUUCAGUGGCAUGCGCAGGCGUUCGAAGAUUCUGUACUCCUAUAAUCAUGGUCAUGGUCACACUCUUUUAACAUCUGAAAUUCAUUGCCAAUUGUUGGAUUAUCUGAGUCAAAACUAGAUUAUGGAAACUGAAAGCUAUUAAAUAUUUUGGAUUGUGAAUUCCAUGGCACUGCAAGUUCAAAUAAGAAGUUCAUGUCCUAAUAUUUGUGUAUAUCAUGUAUUAUGAACAAGUUAAAGUAUGAAUUCAGGUAAUACGUCCAUCUCAUACAGAAAGCUUGAAACUUUGUGUUGGUACUGUUCAUGAUUUAGUGAGUGCAACAAGGCCAGUUUAAAAUUUCAGGCUGAGCCGUUUAUGUGAUACUUUAGUCCACUGCUAUGAUCACACAUGCGAUCAUUUUUUGUUUUAAUGAUGAAGUUUUAUAGCGCCACAGCUUUGAAUGAUGUUACGGCUAAUGAACUUCCAUAUGUUGUAGUUGAGGUUGCAAAAGUACAAAGUGAGUGGAAAAUAUAUUCUCCUUGACCAUCCUAGCAUAUCCACUGAUGGAUCUAACUUCUACUUUAUUGUUUGUUAUGUAUCCCAAAACUACAGUAUCCUUCGGAAAGACGUCGAAGCAGGCAGAUUUAUAGUUGAUGGUAUGGCUAGCAUCCAAGGUGAGACACCAACCUCAAUGCCUAUUUCAAAUGCAAUGCUCUAAUUUUGUGUGAACUACCAGUUUCACAUUUUAUGUGGUUACUUUAGAAUGUUUUAUUCAUGACUAGCAAAUCCUUGCAGCCAGUAGUCUAGGAAAGUAGCCAAAUCGAUGUUACUACAUGUGGUUUGCCGUUUGUCUCUGUAAUAAUCUAGCUGCUAGCAUACCCACUUGGUUGUUGUCUCGACAAGAUACAUAUCUGGAAACAGACUAAGAUCUUGGAGUUUACAUCUGCUUUGGUGUUCCUCUGUUCUAAUUGCCAUGUUUGCAUUUUUAUUUGAUUUAGGUGUAUAGGUAAGGGCAAAACUGAGCCAUGAUACUCUGAUAUUUAUGUUCCAGUAGCAUUAAAAUUCAGAUUUGAAAGAAAUAGCAAUUGGAUCUAUUAAAUUGUGUGCCAGCGAAAAGAAGUGGUAACACGGAUAAAUCUUUGGGGGCAUGUGAGGAUUUUAUUUCUCACAUUGCAACACACGGGCACAUUUACCUAUAUAUAUAAUCUACUGUUAAAGGGAAUUCUACAUUCAUAAUGGUACGUUGAUGGUAGGUUCAUCCAUUAUGUACGUCGAUGGUAGGCAAGUUGUGUUCAAUUGCCAUCACUGAACAAACGUGUUCAUCCAACCUGACUACUUUGGAUCUCCGAUCAAAUUUGAGGCUCCCAGGAAGGUAACGAAUUAUGUAAGCCAAUUAAAAUCGGUAUCCAUUGAUUGCUAUGUACUCCGUGUAUAGCUUGAAUGAAACAAAAUCAUGGAUUUCCUCUUAACUUGUUUUUUUUUCAUAUCAUCGGGAUCUCAUAGAGGUUGAUGGAACAUACAAUAAUGAACUCUUGGUUUCCGAUUCGUUAGUAAGGAACUGCUGAUCCUAUUUAUUUCUACCGAGAACAACGAACAUGUAAAAUCUUGUGACCAUUCUUUAUUCUAUUUGUAAAUUGAUUUGGUUCUUUCUACAUGUGUGUACAAUGUUCUCGUUGAGGAACAAGUAGGCGAAGCACAUUCGCGGUGUGAUACUCGAAACUGCCAUUAAAUUGCAUAGUUAAUGAUUUUUAUUGAGCAUGUCAUAAUAUGUCCAAUUACUUUCAACUAAUUUUAUUCGUAUAUGGUGAUCUGUUGUAAUGUUCGGAAGAUUUUCAUAUAUAUCAUGACUACUUUGUAAUGGUUGCUUACAGUUUUUGUAGGCCACCAGUUUCUGCUAUCACUUGCAACUAUUUCUUAGGUAAUUUUCUGGACCAGUACACACCCAGAUUUUCGGGAUUAAUAACACCAGUGAGUUAAUAUGUUACUGAAACUGUUGGUACCUCAUAUGGUUUUGUGGGGGCUUAGUCUUGUUCUAAAAAAUACCAGUACCCACAUCAAACUUUUUUCAAAUGUUCUGGGGUAUAUAAUAAAUGUGUUGUGUUUUAGAACUGUAUUGCAGCCAUACUUGAAAAGCCAUUUCUACAUGUCAAUACAACCUGCAUUUCAGGCUUACUUGAAAAAGCACCACACAUACAUAUCAAUAUCAGGGCCUCAAUUUGGAAACUGGUACAUACGGUUCAAAUUCUUUGUCCAAUUCUGGUCUCUGUCUUCUAGAAAAGCACAAGGGUUCGCAAUGUAUCAAUCAGCUUACUUUCAGUGACGAUCAAGACUCCCAAAAUGCCUUUUUUCAUGGUGAAAAGAUGCUCAGGCACACAUCAUUGUUAGUUUUUCUCAUGCCAUGCUUGGUCUGUAACUAAAUUUGGAAAAUUCAUUGGAUGUUCCGCAAGUGUGCAACCAAACUUGUAUGAAUCACGUACAAAUAAAUUAUUCAUAAUGAAAAUAAAAUCAUUGUAUGUGUUUUAGAAAUUAUGUCAUACUUAUGUAAAAAGGAUGUCUUCUU